ensembl:lncRNA
GGGCGUUCAGUUUAGGCCACCGGAAGUUAGACUAAUAAGAGAGCGGACGUGGGCUCAAAGAAGGUAUUGCAGAUUGAACGUGACGUAAUGAAGGGAGAAGCCGCUCAGGAGAAGUUUGUCUGACUGGUUGGAUUCUUACAUUGAACCAGUUAGAAACAACACAAUAAACCAAAAAGACCGAACAUCUGAUUAGCAAUUAUGCUUAUUAUAGAUAUAUUUAAUAAAGUCAACAGUCGAGCACUAGUCAAGAGAAGUGGGAACGAUGUGUUUUUUAAGUUAAUUGAUUUAAUUCAUUUGUGAUGGCUACCCUAACAAGGCCAGAAAAAGACGGAAAAAGGAUGAGAAAGUAAGUAGGAUAAGUUUGUUUCCCCCUCAGGAGCCACCCUCACAGCAGGGGACAGACUGUGCGGAGAGCAGCGGGUUCCAGCAGCGAGAUGUCUACACAAAGCAAAACUAAAGCCUUCGAAGAAGAAGGAGCGGACAAAAAACGUGUGCGUCCACUGAGGAUGCUCACUUUUUGGAAAGCGAAGGACCCCCCCCCCCAAAACGUCACCUCCUCAGCGAUGGUACGACACACGGCCCUUCUGAACACCCCGUCUCAAAGCCCUCACGUUGAUCCGGCAUGGACAACCAACGAUGGCCACGCGGAACAGUUCCUCCUCCCUGAGUCAUACGGGGAAGACAGCGCCUCCCGUUAGACCCCGUUUCUCUAAGGCGGUCUGACCAACAGAGACGUGCUGCAGACCGAUAUGAAAGCCGAACCCCUCGAGCCCAACGUCCGGGGGCUCUGGUGAGAAACACAGGCCAAACAGAAUAUGUGCCAUGGGGACACCGGGACUUUGAGACCCUGGUAGCUUCUUUACCUCCACUGAAGAGGGGUGCGGACCCCUAGGUUCGACGGAUGGAAGAGCUCACGGCGAAAGACCAGCUGUCGCUCGGAGAGGUGCGCGCCUUGCUGCUCCGCGCCAAAGCUAAGCUAAACGAAAUAGAAGCUAUAACCGACACCGCCCACAGAGCUGACACAGAUUCUUUUAAUUCCCACCGAGGAAGGUACUGGCAGGCCCUGCGAAGCAUCUGGCCUACUCAACUGGACAAGUCCGCCCUCAUCGGGAUGGAGAAGAAAGCGGGGGAAGAAAUGUAUCGGUACCUGCAAAGAGCAGAGGAAGAAUGGCUUAGAGUCACAGGAGUGAGACACGACCGCGAUUAUUUCACCACCUGGUUUUGGCGUACCCAGGUGCAAAAAGGUUUGCCACAGCCGGUGCAGCAGAAGAAGUGGAGGAACUUAUAGGAGACAUGGAGGAUGCCUCGUGGAGAGGGCACCUCGCUCGACACGUCCAAAGACACCAGGCGAAGGAAGAGAGCAGCCAAGAAGAACUAAGGAAGCUGACAAUACAACUGCUAAGAAUGCAGGUAGCCGAAGCCAAUAAAAAGAAACACCAGGCCAAGAUGCAGAAGAAAGCAACAGAGGCCCAAGCAACCCAACAUGCCCAGAACACCCAGCCAGGAGCACCUGCAGAGCCGUCUCAGCCUUACCCAGUGGCCCCCGCCCAGCCAGCGUUUCGCUACCAACCUGCUCAACCGUAUGCAGACGGAGGACGAGGCUACGAUGGAGGAGCAUUCCAGGAAGGGUGGUACGGGCCACCGCACGACCCAGGAAGCAGAGACGGCUGCUACACAUGCGGCCAGAAAGGACACUGGUCCAGAACCUUCCCCAGAAGAUGAGGAUGAGGAAUCCGUCCUGACCAACAAGAUCGGUACUGAGGAGGCCCAAAUUGUUCUGCUUUUUUGUAUUUUCGUUUUCCUUUUUAGGGUAAUUUUGUUUCUCUCAGAACCAUUUAAUGCCAAAUAUGUUGCACAUAGAAGAAAUUUGUUUUGUUGUGACUGUGCAAACAACAAAAAAUACUAAACAAAGAUGCACACAAGUGCAUGGACAGGAGUAAUGUUCAAAUCUGAAAUAGUCCUGGGAGGCAUGGAAGACUUUUUGUCUUUGUCGUAUCUUUUUUUACAUUUUUUGUAUUUUUUUACGGUAUCAUUCUAUAUUUUUGUAUAGAAUAGGGGGGCCCGGUGAGGAUGAGCGCGACCUCCUUCAACCCGUAUUGUUCUAUCAGAGUACUCACUCUAGAGUACUGAAUGGGAACAGCAAAAAGCCUGGGCAUGAAAUAGAGCUUCUUGGCAUGGUCAGCCGUCUGGAAAUUCAACAAGCAAACCGUUUCAUUGGGUGAUUGAAUAUUAUAUUUGUUAUUCACACUGCCUGUACUGCGUUUGAUUUUGUAUUUUUUAAUGAAAUAAAAAGUUGAUUUUUAUUGAACCAUCUAUUUUGAUUCAUUCCACGACGAACCCCUGACGAAGUCAGACUGAACACAUUCUUCACACAAGCCCCUGUGCAUCUCUGUAAGGGCCUCAUUUUGUUAUCCAUUAUGAAGGUACAUCAGAACAAGGUGCAAUGACGUGGCAAACCGUUGCAUACACUUAAUCCGUCAAUGUCAUUUGACAGAGGAAGUCUGUUAAAACCGCAAGAUCAUCGUGACAACCGGCUGCAGGAAGUCACUGACAAUAGUUACAGCGUGUACCUUUUAUUCGGUCCGUUUGCAGAUUAAACAAACCCUAAAAUGUUGUUGUUGUUAUUGUGUUCCUUGUGUGGUUGUAAAGUUCACGGAACACAAUGUAGCUCUUCAUCUCAGAGCUGUUACUCCGUCAUCCUCCUCUCAUCUGCCAGCUUCUCACUCCUCUCCGUCUGCUCAGCUCGACCACGCACAAGCUGCUCUCCCCUGCCCUCGUACUCCAAGAGCCCCCAACCCCCCCCACCGCAGUUAUUAUGUGAUGUGUUAAUGUAAAACUAUUACUAACAUUUGGACAGAUUUAUCCGUCAACAGUUGGGCCAGCACGGGACCGGCCAUGUGGGACUGCAGUCUCCCCAGGGGGGGCAGUUACUACCCCCCCCCACCCCGCCACCCUCUUUCUGAUGCCCAGUUUUAUCUUCAAGAGCAAAGGAAAGGUGGUUCUUCUUGCUGCAUCAUGCACCAAUAGUAGAGAUCCCACAGUGUCAAUUUGAUAGCGAUGCCUCUGAAGAAGUAUGUAAGCAAACCAGACUAGGACGAUUAUUUCUUGAUGCAUGUCAGGAGGAAACUGAAUGAGCGUCAAUAUUUUCACUGGCAAAGAUCGAGCAGUACGCUGACAUUAAAAGGAAGCAGGAGAUGAAUAAUAACACAUAUUUGGGCAACGUUCAGUCAACCUGAAAGCUGAUUACAUGCAUAUCUUCUAAAAAUAAACCCCCUUUAAACUUUGCCACCUCGCCAGUAGGUUGGGCUCCACAAGUUAAUGAGUGAAUGUUUCAUGUAUCUCGAUGAGGCAUCUCUACGCUCGUACUUUGAGCAAUAGAGUAAAGAACUCAUGAUAAUGUGAGUGCUAAUAUCGUGUGUAGGCGGAGUCACGGUGAGCGGGAGGAAUAAAGAGUCACUAGCAGGCUGUUAGCAUGUCAAAUUCACUAGCGGCCUGUUAGCAUCUCAGAUUCACUAGCGGCCUGUUAGCAUCUCAGAGUUCACUAGCGGCCUGUUAGCAUCUCAGAGUUCACUAGCGGCCUGUUAGCAUCUCAGAGUCACUAGCGGCCUGUUAGCAUCUCAGAGUCACUAGCGGCCUGUUAGCAUCUCAGAGUUCACUAGCGGCCUGUUAGCAUCUCAGAGUUCCCUAGCGGGUGGGGAGGGGGGGCUUUGGGUGGGGCCGGCUUUGAUUGUUGCUGCGACGCCCCGCUAACCAGAGCCGACUGAGUUGCUGCCAGCGCGACGCCACGAGGGACAGCGAGGACCUCUGCCCUCUGGUUUUCAGCCACACGGCGUAAGCCAGCGACAGUGAUGUGCUCUCCACAGCUGGCGCCCGCGGCCUCGCCCCGGGGCGCGGGAGAUGUGACCACGUCGGCGCUCGCUGGCUCCCCGGGUCUCAUUAGAGCCACGUCUGGGCCUCAGAUAUCCCCCAUAUGCAGCACACACACCAGCGGGGUGUUUUGGUUUGUUUAUUCUUUAGAAUAUAGCCAAAGGGAUGUUAGAUGCCGGGUACCCUUCUUGCCUCAUUAAAUGUCCCCCUGUUCUCAGAAAUCAGCUCCCUUGGAGAUUUGUGUAAAUAUUUGUGUUCACAAAUGAGGCGAAAUCUAUUUUCAGUCACCAAAAUAUGACUUUCCAGUUUCUAAUAAUCCUACAUAUAUUAUAAUUUAUUUGUUAUUGUUGUUAUUUAAUCAUUAAUGAAUAUUCGAAAAAACAUAAAAAGGCGUAAAAUCAGUCCAGUUUAAUAUUUGAUCUUUUGGUCCUGAUAGAAAAACAAAAUGUUCUUCCCUGUUUAAACCUGCAGCCCGUUCGGGUUUGGCAGGAGGAGCAUUGCAGGUGCAGAAGUUACAGUUCGACAUACGCUAAUUUCUUUUGUCACAUAGGAGUACAAAUAAAACCAUUUGAAUUGAUUAGUAAUUUCAAUCUAACAUUGUCAGCCGAGGAGUUUUCUUCCUGCUAGAUUCAUUUCAGUGUAAUAAGGACGGUUGGUUUUGGAUCAUUACUGAUCAAUUUAGAUUGCAUUUGACCCAGAAGACUUUACACCUUUAAUCUCUUUUUGUAAUUAGAGGCCCAAUUGGUAAAUCUCAGUGUUCUUCUUACAGAAAAAACAAAAAUUUUCCAUAUGUCACAAUCGUAAGUAAUGGUCAGCAUGACAAAAACAGGGCACAGCUCCAGUCCACGCUCAGUUUAUCUCAGGUGCUGAAGAAGAUGGGUCGCCCCCCCCCCCCUGCAGCCAACACUUAUCUGUUCAUCUCUGAAAGACGAGGCGAAGCCAUCGGAUAUCUGCCCGAAUCAAAUCACACCGCUAACGUCUCCCGUGUUCAGGAGCUCAUUUUUCUAACGUGAUCCACACACGGGGAUGUGCACAGGAGAGGACACCGGCGGGUCAAGUCGAAGAGGCCUCACGGACACAAAAAUGGAGAGUGAAAGAUGCAAGUGGAUUAUCAGCUUUGGGUCCAAAGCCGUGGAAGCUCUUGACCCCGUCCAAGCAGCGGCUGCUGCAGACACCACUGGGUGAAGGAAGACUUUGCACAAUUUACAGAGCAACGAAGUGGAGAUAAAGCCGCCUUUUUUCCCACCUAAGGGUGAAACACGCCAAAUCUACUGAUGCAUUUAGAGGGAUUCAGCUUUUCCAUUGAAUACUGCAGCUUACUGACCGCAGCGCAUAUUGUACCAGUGAGCAGAUGACAGCUUGACACGUUAUCCCUUAUGCACAAAACCAUAUGUCGUUGUCCAGCAUUUAAAUGCCAUUUCCUCAUUAAUCCCUCAAGAACUCUGUUACCACCACUCUCAAUAACACCCUUAGAACAGGUAUGACGUAAACAGCUGGACUUCCACAGUGUUCAGUUAAAUGCCCUUGAAGCUCUUUGCCAAAGUGAAGAUGACUUUAAUGGUUCCAGUCGCUCAGGAACCAGAUCCAGGAAAAAAGAUUUAGCAACAUCUCAUUUGCUUUGAGUUAGGAGAGUGAGAUGGGGUUGUGCGUGUGAGCCAGAUACAAGAAGUAACACAACGGAGCUCAGUGGAAAACAGCAGCUUUGUCUCGUGUCUGCAGGUUGGAAAUGCACUUUCUCAUCUCUAAAAUGAACAAUAUGUCUGUCACAUCGCACAGUGAGCGACUGUCACUUUUGACAGAAGAAGAAGAAGAAGGUACUGAAGCUGCAUCUCCUCUUGAAGCCUUCCCGGUAGACGCCUCACACCUGCCCGUUGCGUCUUUGUUGAGUAACGGCUGCUGGAUGACGAGGGGGAGCUGCAGUCCGAGGUCGAGGUUGCGAAAACGUCACCGCGGCCUUUGCUGAGCCAUCGCGCACAAGGAGGUCGUCGGCGUUUGCCUCUCAAUAAUUCCCUGAGCACGUGAUGCUGAUGUGGGGGGGACGAUGCCCGGGGGAAAGCUGAGAAUGACUCCAUCCGCUCACAGCGCUUAUUGGAACACACACAGUAUUCAGAAUUAGUGCUCUAAUUUUUCUCCGUCCCCUCCUUGGUGAUGUGGUUAGUCGAUGUGUGUCGGAUGAAUAGACGGCAGCCGCGCUCCGAAAACCCACCGACGGAAACCCACCGCCCGCCCCUCUGACCACGUCGUGCUCCGCUGCAGUCGAGCCAAAACCACGCGCGGUUGAACCCCCGCUGGAUCUUCUAGAAACGCUCACGCUUUGGUUGAGAGACCAGAGCCGCUCCAACCAACAGACCUCUGCUGACUUCACAGGCUGUUUGUUCUCCGUCUCCUGGAGGGCUUUUAAGCCCUCAAAUAUUUGCUCUUGGGCAACUAAAUUACAGAGACGCUACGUCGCUCGCCCUCGCCUCCGUCCUUGGACCCGACUUCCGAGGUGUCUGUGCACGGGGACGGGACGCUGUUCUCGAGCGCUGGUACAUUAGUCGCUCUUCCGUUCGAUUGUCGCGCCAGCACACUUUCGCCAAUGUGCGUGUCAGAACACACAAAAAGAGCAUGGAAUUAUUGUUCAGUAAAGGACCAUUUUUUUUAUCCGCUUAGCACGUUGACUGGUUGAUGAGGUGCAGGAUGUGGCGCAGGAAGUGGCGGAGGAAGUGGCGCAGGAAGUGGCGCAGGAAGUGGCGGAUCAAUGUAACUGUCUGGCAGGCGCUCUGCCCCGGAGAUAAACCUCCCGCUCUGUGUUUAAUGUGAGAAGGCCGUCUCACAUUAAACACACACACUGAACGCAACGCGCGUCACGAGUGAGGCCGCAGUCUUGGUUUGCGGCUGUCGCCGGGUUGUUUUUUUUAAGUUUUGGAAUUGAGAGCAGUGAGGUUCAGACCGCGUGUACGUCUUUAUUAUUUAAGAAGACUUGAGAUUGAGACCAUGAACUCGUGUUUGGCAAAGGUCACCUUUUACACAACUGAGGCAGUGGAAGCACACGAGAAGUGUUCACAGGAAGCAGGGGAUGCAGUGCUUUCCUGUUUGCCCUCAUGAUGCUGCUGUUGUCUCACGGUUAUGAAUAAAACACAAUGACUGACUGCCGAUACCGUUUCUGCAAACACAACAUGCUCCUUCGUUGUAAAGUGUUUAACUGGUGACACAUAAGGAGACUUUCUCAACUACGGCAAAUAAUACAAAUUUGGAUAUGGCUGUAAUCGUAUAUUCCAGAAUUUGUCCCUUUAAUCAUGAACUUAACGAAGUUAAAGACCGUGAAGGGCGACGGGGUGGAGGUGUGAGAAUCCAACACCCCCCUGCGUCACUGCUCAUUUAUUUUAGCCCCAAUGACAAUAUUUGCCUGAAUCUCGUCUCUUCCUUUCCUCCUCCGCUGAGCUCACUGAGAACGAAUGUGUGUGUGUGUGUGUGUGUGUGUGUGCGUGCAGACUCUCGCAGACACACAACAGUGCCUUUGAAAGUGUUUCCUAUUUAUAGAGUGUGUACUGUUUCCGUUGUCAUGUUGAUGAACAUCACAUUCAAAAGCCUGAAUUCUUUCUCAGCGUUCGCUUUGGAGAAAUUAGAAUUGAAAAAUGCAUCAAUCUGACACUGUAGAAGUCACUGAUUACACACAACCAAGGACAACGGCACACACACAGACACACACGGACAGACACGGACACACAUAGACACAAAUAGACACACAUGGAGACAUAUAGAUACAGACAGAUACACAUAGACACACACAGACACACACAGACACACAUGGAGACCCACAGACACACACAGACACACACGGACACAGUUCAGGUCUAAAAACAACGUGUUGCAGGUGUUUCUGAGCGUCAUCAUUUAUUCUCCUUUAUCUGAAUUUAUGUUUUAAGCAUUUUUAACAAUAGCGUCCUCCAUCUUUCUCACAGGAAAACUCCUGGUUCCAGGUGUAACCCGCUCAGGGGGGGGGGGUCUGUGUAGAACCCAAAUAUGUGGAGAUGUACCUAGGAUCCUCUACAGAGAACUCUACUAUGGUGUCAUGGUUCCACAGCCCUCUCUGCACGUUCUGCUCGGUUCCCGACAACAAGAACCCACCUCCAAAAACGUUCAUAAAUGGGGAUGAGCGGCUGACCUUUGAGAUACUUCUGUGGUUCCAUUCCCCCAACAACAGCAGACGCAUAUAAACACAAAUCCUCACACACACACACACACACACACACAGACACAGACACACACACCCUGGGGGUCACCGGUGCAGAUCUUCAUCCUGCACGGCAGCGAGGACGCGUCCUCAUCGGGCUGACCUUUGCUGCAGAGGGAGACAACGCUGAAAUGUUGAUGAUCCUCGUGCUGCAGGUGGAGGAACACACUGACUCCCCCAUCAGGGCGCCUCGUGGGUGCUCACAGAGCCGCAGUCCGGCCCUCCUGUUCGGGGGGCAGUAACCAUCGCUCCUCCAUAAUACCCCUUAAUGCCUCCUCGCGCGCACCGUCCGGUCCUCCCAGGAAGCCGCGUAUUGAUUUUUUGAACAAUAUAGUGGAAGAAACAAAACAAAAAGGAGUUGAAAUUCAGGUCGAUGCCCCACAAAGGUGUAAAUCGAUGGCGUUUUAAUCUGGCUAAGCAGCCCCAGUGAAUAGUCGCUAUGGAUCUCUUCUUCACAGUAAUUUAUGUGAGCUGUGGGGCUCAGAGCUACAAGACGUUUGUAUUUGGAGGGAAAUGGGCGACUUGUUACAUCGAUUAUCAGGAAUAAACUGUGCUGCAGGAAGUUAAACACGUCACUAAUUUGCUGUAUUAUUUGCAACACCUUUGGAAAAGGAAUCUUCACCUGUGACGACGUUUACAGAACGAAUUCAUUAAUUCAUUUAAUGACAUGACAAUUGCUUUAUUGGUACAGUUCAUAAUUAUAUACUGUAUGCAUACAUAGUGCACAAUAUUCCCCCAGUGUAAACUUGAUCAUACACAAGAAGCGAAGGCUCAGCAGCGUCUUUCAAAUGUUACUGUUUCUUAAUUAAUCCGAGCUGCGUCUCGUACUUCGUGCGUUCUGAUUUAAAAUAGAUGCUUUGGCUGGAAACCCUCCGCGUGUGACGUCUCUCCUGCUCUCUAAAAAAAAAAGACCUGAUGUUGUUGAUGUGGCCGUCGGUGAAGUGACGGGCAAACAUCUGAAAACAUGAAAAAGUGUCAUCUCUGUCGGAGGGUUUAUCUCACGUGUGCCCUCUUCCACUAAUUGGACCGCGUCCCGUGCGGUCUCGCUCCACCUCGGGUUCCCAGAUGGAAGAAGACGCGCGUGGGAGACAUCCUGGAGGCCACGUUAGAACGGCGGCCCGCUGAAAAGGUCUUGAGAGACGAGGGUGUCGAGCCAAAAGGUUGAAGAAGAAACGACAGGUGUCUGUACGUCUCAAUAUCUCGGGCUUCUGUUUUCCCCUUUGAACCGUGAUAUUUCUUGUCGUUGGAUGAUAAACUGGGCUGGAUGUCAUUAAGAAAACGCUGGUAGCGAACAUCGGUCCUCGCUUUAGAUUCUGAGCUGUGCCUCCGUCCUCACCGCCCCGGAGCACGCAGAGGUGCAGCGCCGCAGCGACCACAAAACCACGCAAUUAACCUUGGAGACGGUUUGAAUUCCGCCAACAGGGAAUAAACGCAGCAUCCCGUGCAGCGGCGAGGACCAAUGGGGGAGCAGGACCCGCCACGCCGGCCUCGCGCUUCGCUCUCCCGACCUCUGCUGAUGAGCACAUUUAAUAGUCUGUCUCCCCGUGCAACCUUUUUGUCAUCAAUGCCCCCCCCCACCCCCGCCCCCCCGCUCACAAUGCUUCAGAGGAGGCUGCAGAUAUUCAAACGGAUUGUUUUAAUCAGCCAAAAAACACAUUAUGGAAAUCCUUGUUUGACUUUUGUGUCUGUGUCGAUCGGAGCUGCUUUUGUCAACGUUCAUUCUUUCUUUUCACUUUUCUUCUCUUAUUAUUUUUUAGCACGAAGGCGUUCGAAGGCCUUGCGUGGGCAGAUGGGUAAAUGGGGGGAAAAUUCGCUCAUCAAUCAAAACACGGCGUGAUGAAUAUGAUAUAAUACAAGCGUUUUGUCAUUUCUCUGUCCUCUGUGAGCUCGUGGCUUCAGCGCUAAAGCGGCUAAGUGGGAAUAAACGGGUGCAGAGCUGCAGGAGGCCAUGAGGGCUUAGGACUUUACCAGCGUCAAUAAAGAGGAAUCAACCAAAACAAAGAAGACACGUCUGGCUCUGCUGCAUCGAUUUGGAUCAUCGUCCUUUAAUGGAUUUCAUCAAAGCGGUUAUCGGUAAUUAAAUUCAGAAUAGUCCGUCUCCUAAAUAACUUUAAGACUCACUGUAAUAUGACACGAGCCCAACAUGUAAUCGCUCCUUUGUUUCCACCGCGUUGCAUCACCGCUGUUGCUAAAAAGGCCCACAACACAGAAUUGUUUCAAUCCCGAACGUCAUGAAAUUAAAAGCCGGGAGGCUUAAACGCUUUCCAUUACGGAGCCGUCACGAGCGAUAUCCACCACUGUGAACUUUGAAGGGGAAACGGAACCUCCCUUCGACAUUAAUUGAAUAUGUAGGCUAUGAAAAAUGUGGUGCUUAAGCUCGACGCUGGAAGGGGUGAAAUCAAUGUGAGCGAGGGCAAGUGUGUGAUCCCAAAGCCCAAUUAGGAAUCUCCCCCCAGC